CCUACGGGAGGCAGCAGUGGGGAAUAUUGCACAAUGGGGGAAACCCUGAUGCAGCGACGCCGCGUGAGUGAAGAAGUAUUUCGGUACGUAAAGCUCUAUCAGCAGGGAAGAAAAUGACGGUACCUGACUAAGAAGCCCAGGCUAACUACGUGCCAGCAGCCGCGGUAAUACGUAGGGGGCAAGCGUUAUCCGGAUUUACUGGGUGUAAAGGGAGCGUAGACGGCAGCGCAAGUCUGGAGUGAAAUCCCAUGGCUUAACCAUGGAACUGCUUUGGAAACUGUGCAGCUAGAGUGCAGGAGAGGUAAGCGGAAUUCCUAGUGUAGCGGUGAAAUGCGUAGAUAUUAGGAGGAACACCAGUGGCGAAGGCGGCUUACUGGACUGUAACUGACGUUGAGGCUCGAAAGCGUGGGGAGCAAACAGGAUUAGAUACCCCUGUAGUC
rnacentral:rRNA from 1 species